AGGUGCGAUCAUGCCAGCACUAAUGCACGAGAUCCCAUCAGAACUCCGUAGUGAAACGUAAUUGGGCGAGAGUAGUACUAGGAUGGGUGACCUCCUGGGAAGUCCUCAUGUUGCACCUC
rnacentral:rRNA from 2 species